rnacentral:rRNA from 1 species
UACGAAGGGCCCGAGCGUUGAUCGGAUUCACUGGGCUUAAAGGGUGCGUAGGCGGAACGGUAAGUAUCUCGUGAAAUCCCACGGCUCAACCGUGGAACCGCGGGGUAUACUGUCGUUCUUGAGGUCGGUAGGGGCUGUCGGAACUGUAGGUGUAGCGGUGAAAUGCGUAGAUAUCUACAGGAACGCCAAUGGCGAAGGCAGACAGCUGGGCCGAUUCUGACGCUGAGGCACGAAAGCGUGGGGAGCAAACAGG